GGGCAGAUGGCCGAGUGGUUAAUGGCAUCAGACUGUAAAUCUGACGCGCUCAGCGCUACGGAGGUUCAAAUCCUUCUCUGCCCACCA
rnacentral:tRNA from 1 species